UAUACGGUGAAACUGCGAAUGGCUCAUUAAAUCAGUUAUCGUUUAUUUGAUAGUACCUUACUACUUGGAUAACCGUGGUAAUUCUAGAGCUAAUACAUGCUAAAAACCCCAACUUCGGAAGGGGUGUAUUUAUUAGAUAAAAAACCAACGCCCUUCGGGGCUCCUUGGUGAUUCAUAAUAACUAAACGAAUCGCAUGGCCUUGCGCCGGCGAUGGUUCAUUCAAAUUUCUGCCCUAUCAACUUUCGAUGGUAGGAUAGUGGCCUACCAUGGUAUCAACGGGUAACGGGGAAUUAGGGUUCUAUUCCGGAGAGGGAGCCUGAGAAACGGCUACCACAUCCAAGGAAGGCAGCAGGCGCGCAAAUUACCCAAUCCCGACACGGGGAGGUAGUGACAAUAAAUACUGAUACAGGGCUCUUUUGGGUCUUGUAAUUGGAAUGAGUACAAUUUAAAUCCCUUAACGAGGAACAAUUGGAGGGCAAGUCUGGUGCCAGCAGCCGCGGUAAUUCCAGCUCCAAUAGCGUAUAUUAAAGUUGUUGCAGUUAAAAAGCUCGUAGUUGAACCUUGGGCCUGGCUGGCCGGUCCGCCUCACCGCGUGUACUGGUCCGGCCGGGCCUUUCCUUCUGGGGAGCCGCAUGCCCUUCACUGGGCGUGUCGGGGAACCAGGACUUUUACUUUGAAAAAAUUAGAGUGUUCAAAGCAGGCCUUUGCUCGAAUACAUUAGCAUGGAAUAAUAGAAUAGGACGUGCGGUUCUAUUUUGUUGGUUUCUAGGACCGCCGUAAUGAUUAAUAGGGAUAGUCGGGGGCAUCAGUAUUCAAUUGUCAGAGGUGAAAUUCUUGGAUUUAUUGAAGACUAACUACUGCGAAAGCAUUUGCCAAGGAUGUUUUCAUUAAUCAGUGAACGAAAGUUAGGGGAUCGAAGACGAUCAGAUACCGUCGUAGUCUUAACCAUAAACUAUGCCGACUAGGGAUCGGGCGAUGUUAUCAUUUUGACUCGCUCGGCACCUUACGAGAAAUCAAAGUC
rnacentral:rRNA from 1 species